AGGAACAGAUUUCGAGGCUGCAGCCGAUUAAGGAUGGCUGAUAGUUCUGCUCAGGCCGAGUCGCUGGCUCCGCAAGAACUCAAUGGCGACUUCAAGAGACCAGCCCUGCCGGUGCCCCCGGCGGUGAGAGGCAAGGCUUCGGCCACCAAUCCUUCAAACUCUGAGGAGGUGAAGAAAGAAAUGCCCACGGCGCUGCUGGACUCCGAUUCCGGAGACCCUGACGUCCCUCUGGCCCAGCGGGACAGCGGGGAGACUAGGAGUCUAGCGGAGGAGCAGCCGUGGUCCCCUACAGCAGCUACUUCCCCUGGCGGCCCGGCCCGGGCUCCCCCUUACCGAGAGCCGCCGUGGGGCGGCCCGGCCACGGCCCCUUACAGCCUAGAGACACUGAAGGGCGGCACCAUACUUGGCACCCGGAGGUUGAAGGGGAUGAGUUGCUGCCUUUUCGGGAGGCUGCCUAGCUGCGACGUGUGCCUGGAGCACCCUUCGGUGUCUCGCUACCACGCCGUGCUGCAGCACAGAGUGUCCGGCCCUGACGCAGAAGGCGACGGCCACGGGCCUGGCUUCUAUCUCUACGAUUUAGGAAGCACCCACGGCACUUUUCUUAACAAAACCCUCAUCCCACCCCGCACCUAUUGUCGGAUCCACGUCGGGCACGUUCUUCGCUUUGGAGGCAGCACUCGGCUCUUUCUUCUUCAGGGACCUGAGGAAGACCGAGAGGCAGAAUCCGAGUUGACAGUAACUCAGUUGAAGGAAUUACGCAAGCAGCAACAAAUGAUGUUGGAGAAGAAGAUGUUGGGAGAAGACUCAGAUGAAGAAGAGGAAAUGGAUACUGCUGAAAGGCAGAGAAAUACUAGUAGUCAAGAUGAUGAAAUGGGCUGCACCUGGGGAAUGGGAGAAGAUGCUGUAGAGGAUGAGGCUGAAGAGAACCCCAUUGUCUUAGAGUUUCAGCAGGAGAGGGAGGCCUUUUAUAUAAAGGAUCCAAAAAAGGCUCUCCAAGGUUUUUUUGACCGAGAAGGAGAAGAAUUAGAAUAUGAAUUUGAUGAACAGGGCCAUAGCACUUGGCUCUGCAGAGUGAGAUUACCUGUGGAUGAUUCAACUGGAAAACAGCUGGUGGCUGAGGCUAUUCACUCAGGAAAGAAAAAAGAAGCAAUGAUCCAGUGCUCACUGGAAGCUUGUCGAAUCCUCGAUACUUUGGGAUUGCUUCGGCAGGAGGCAGUAUCUCGGAAAAGGAAAGCCAAGAACUGGGAAGAUGAAGACUUUUAUGACAGUGACGAUGACACAUAUCUUGAUCGGACUGGCCUGGUUGAAAAGAAGCGUCUGAACCGAAUGAAGAAGGCUGGGAAGAUUGACGAGAAGCCAGAGACCUUUGAAUCACUGGUUGCAAAGUUAAAUGAUGCUGAAAAGGAACUCUCUGAAAUUUCUGAGAGACUGAAAGCCUCCAGCAAAGCUCUCUCAGAGUCACCAUCUCAGGACUCUUUAGAUGCAUUCAUGUCAGAAAUGAAAUCAGGGAGUGCGUUAGAUGGUGUGUCCCGGAAGAAACUUCACCUGAGAACUUUUGAACUGAGAAAGGAACAGCAGAGACUUAAAGGGUUGAUAAAAAUUGUAAAGCCAGCAGAGAUUCCAGAACUAAAAAAAACUGAAAGUCAAGCUACAGAUGGAGAAAGCAAAGCUAAAAAGCUUACAUUGCCUCUCUUUGGUGCCAUGAAAGGAGGAAGCAAAUUCAAAUUAAAAACUGGAACAGUAGGGAAGUUACCCCCCAAGCGUCCAGAACUACCCCCAGCUCUAAUGAGAAUGAAGGAUGAGCCUGAAGUAGAAGAGGAGGAAGAGGAGGAGGAGGAGGAAGAGGAGAAGGAAGAGGAGGAGCAUGAAAAGAAGAAAAUGGAAGCUGGAGGCAGUAGGCUACCGCAGGAGACAGAACCAGAAGGAGCAGUGCAGGACACGAGCCCCACCACAGACUCCUCGAGUUCUAAAGAAACAAAAAACCUUGAAAACAUGUCUCAACUCAGCCAAGUGAAACAAAAUAAAGAUUAUCAAGAGAUCAGUGAAACAGCUGCAUCACGUGAGGAGCCCUCAGCGUCAAAGAAUGAAAAUGAGAAAAGCAGAGAUGAAUUGAAGAAAAAGAAAGCUCCUGGCCCCGGCAAACUUCCGCCAACACUUUCCUCAAAAUAUCCAGAAGAUGACCCAGAUUACUGUGUGUGGGUCCCACCUGAAGGCCAAAGUGGAGAUGGCAGGACCCAUCUUAAUGACAAAUAUGGCUAUUGAUUGCUUCCAAAUCCCAAAGGAAGACCUUGUGGACCAUGUGACAUGGGAUAUUUGAAUAAUACAUCAAGUUGAAUGUCCAGAGAAGGAGUUCAGAUGGGGAAACUGAGGUCCCGAGAGGUCAAGUAACUCACUCAAGGCAACACAGUAAAUAGUGGGGUUGAACUUGGAGCCCAGCUUUCAAACUCCAGAGCUUGAACUACAGCCUCUCUGCAACUACCCUCUAGGGGUAAGAUAGGACUCCCCGCCGAAGGCCCCAACAAUCUUUGCAAGAGGCCUUCUAGAAACUGUCAACACGAUUGAUAGGAGCAGAAUCUUCAGUCCUGCUCGCCUCCCCGCCAGCUGCCAAGCAAAGUUCUGCUUGAGGUAGCAGUGGCGCAUUCCUUCGUUUAUUCAUUCAUUUUUGUGGCUGAAGAUCCGGGUUCCUCGCCUUUUCAUCUCUCUCUUGGGGAAGAGGCUCACGGGGCUUCCAGGUGGCCGUCCUGUCCCCAGCCGGCUUCUGUGGAGAACAUCUGUCCUCAGAGCUCCGGAGGGCCUGCCCUCCCUCAGCGUCCUGUCCCCAGCCGGCUUCUGUGGAGAACAUCUGUCCUCAGAGCUCCGGAGGGCCUGCCCUCCCUCAGCUUCAGGGCCUUGGGUUCACGCCAGACCAGGGCUGAGCUGUUCCCAGCUCAGUUUACAAUGUGGCCACAGCCAUCACCUGGGAAGGGCGGAGCCUUAGGGAGCCAACCAGAGAGGAGUAAGCAGGGAGAGGAGGAAGGAAACUCACACCUGGUGCACAGGUGAGCCCAGAGACCAGCAGAAACGUGGUUACAGGCGGAGUUCACGCUCUGAAGGCCUGCAGUCACGCUCUGUUCUGUCCUCACAGGCUGUUGCAAAUGGGAAAAGUUCACAUAAGAAUCCAGACUUCUGAUUUUUCUUGACUAAUAAAAACAUCUGGUGACCCUGAGACUGUAUUCCACUUGGCAGCCAUGGUAAGUCAGGAAACCUUAUUGUUGAAGCUCUCUUCCCUAGUUCUGUUUCCUACCUGUUCCCCAAGGGCACCUGUGAUCUCACUCAGGCCUCGCCACCACCCUGUGAGACUGGGAACGUUAACUCCAUUUUAUACAUGAAGGAAGCAAGGGCAGAGGUCAGUAGCCUCGCCCAAGGUCCUGGCCAGGGAGAGACGGCUGGGGUUCUCACCCAGGUAAUCUGCCUCCUGGUCCAUGCUUUCUGUGCUCCCCUCAACUUUUUCCUGCUCAAAGAGUUGGUACUCCCAGCAGCAGUUGGAUGGACAGCAGAUGCAGAGAGCAAAUGAAAACCUUCUGGCUGUUCAGGUCUGGGGCCUCCUAGGCCACAGCAGAGUCCUGAGCUGGGCAAAACAGCUCUCCACUGAGGUUCUGGAGAGGUGACUCUUUUCCCAAGCAUGGGGCAGGAGGUGGCUGGUCAAUGGUUCCCCCGCAGCUCAGGCCGGCGAGAGGACCAGUGCACCUCGGUGUGGGGCACUGAGAGCAGGAGUGGCUGGUCAGUCUAGGUGGUGUCUCCCUUCCUGGCUUCUCUCCCUUUAGUGGAAGCAAGCUCCCAGGCAGCACCUUGCUGCACUUGGUCUUUCUGCCACACAUAGUGCAAACCCAUGGCGCAGCGGGGCCAGAACUGCCUUAGUCUGCAAACCGCAGCGCAGUCUAGACCAGUCAGGCUUCCUUGAGCAAAGUGCUCUUUCCGGUCAGUUGUACAUUCUCCUCCUGGAGAGGCUCGCUGACUCUUCCCAGAAGGGCUUGCCCUCUACUCCCUAGCAGUUCCUAGGAAUGAAUGGAGGAGCAGCACCUGAGAGUCACAGGGUGUCAGAGGAAACAGAGUAACUGCUUUAUAAAAAUAGCUCAGCUGUGUAUAGCACUCUACAGUUUAUAAAACCCUUUCACAUCCAUGUGUAUUAUUUGGUUCUCACAACUUUAUGAGCCAGACAGAGCAGCAGUUGGCAAAUAUGGAUUAUCUAGGAAAGUUCUAUUCUCAGUCCUGCCACUUACUGUGAGCAAGUGCAUAUCCUCUUUGUAGCUUUUAUUUCUUCAUUGACUAAAAAAAAUAUUUUUUUUAAUAAUGGGUGAACUGUGGGGUUAUUUUAGCUUAUAUAAAUUUAAUAAAAAAGAAGAUAAUGAUCUCUCCCAGCAAGGUUGCUCUGCUGUAUAGAACUCCAGGGAGUGCUAUUCACACAGAAUACCAGGUAAUGGGUCCCCUAGAAAUUGUGCAACAGGUGGAGCUCCUUAUGUGCAUGUCGUGAGGAUUAAAUGACAUAAUUUAUGUCCUAGCACAAAACCUGUGAGAUAGAUGGUGAUUAACAAAUGCUUGUCAAGUGAGUGAACUGCUCACUCAGUCAUGAUGGAUUUUGAGGGGAGCUCACAGGAAGAAGGAAGUAGUACUGGCUCCCUGUGCUGGUGUUGCAUUUCCUGCCCAUAUUUCUGUGACUCUUGCCAAGUUGCCCUUUGUCCUAGGCUGCUGGGCUCCCAGUCGGCUGGAGGCACAGACUUAUCAGUGGGGACUGGAGAGCUGGGCCUGGACUGGGUAAUGACCAGCCUUCCGCUCACUUGAAGUUUCCGUUGGGGGGCUGGAAGCCACAGCAUCCAGAUGGCUAAUUGCUUUGUGCCUGUGUCUGCAAAUCACAGUGAUUCACUGUCCCUGCUGAAAACACGCUCUCUUUUCAAAGAUUUAAUAGUUUCCAAAAUUAAUUUAGCCUCAUCUGUUAUCCCCCUGCCCUUCUGCACUGUCCCCUCCCCCCAGUGUCCUCCCCCAUCCUGGGAUGGAGCUGCUGCUUCAGAAAGCUGGCUUUCACUGUGCAGGGCAUAGUGGAGAGGAGCACAGACCCCUUUCCAGAGUCACCUGAGCAGAUACUGAGUGUAGAGUUUGGGGAAAGAAGCCCAGGAGGGAAGGGCUGGUGUCAGGGGCACAUUUAUCUCCCACCAUCCUACAUGCUUUUGGCCAUGAAGCCCAGGUCUGACUGACACUCCCAGAAGAAGAUCUCCAAGAAGCUCGUGUUUGCACUGUUUUGCUUACGGAAUUCCCAGAGAUCAUCUGUUUUUUAUAUGUGAGGGAUAUGGUCAGUUUUGUUAGUUUUAGACACCUCAUUAUGGGCCCAUGAGACCCUGGGGCCGAACCCUGGCUAAGAGACCAGAAUUUAGGGAGUUUACCUCCGUCUGAUUUCUGAAUUGUUUCUUUACCAUCUUUGGGCUUCUGCUCUUCCCCAGUAACAUAAAGAGGGUAUAAUCCUUUCCUCUUAAUGAUAUAAUCCCUUCCUUUAAUGAUAUAACUCCUUAAUAAUAAAAUUGAUUUAUUUAAUAAACAUUUAUUGAACCUCUCUAUGUAUCAGGCAUGUGCCAGGGAUUGAGGGUACAGUGGCAAAAAAAAACCCCUCCACAAUCCUGGUCCUUCCAGAACUCAGCUCACAGUCCACAGUGGAGAAAGAACAGGCCCGAGGCCAGCAGGCUGUUGGAUGCUCUGCAGGGAACGUUAGGGGGCUGGGGGCACUGAGUCUUGUGGAGUCAGGAAAGGCUCCUCGGGGGAGGUCAUGCCUAAGCAGAGUCCUAAAUAAUUAGAAAGAGUUAUCUUGAAGAAGAAGAAAGAGGAGGAGAAGAGGAAAGAGGAGCAGUGUUCUAGGCAGAGGAAACAGAUAAGCACAAAAGCCCAAGGAAGGAGAAGCCCUGGUUCAUACUGAGGAUCUGCAGACAGUGCAGUAUGACUGGCCAGAGGACAGUGAGAGCGGGAGUGGCUGGACACAAAAGUGGGGCCAGAGCAGCAAAGGCCUUUUGGCACCUGAUCGAAUUAUCACGGGGUUUUAAGCAUGAUCCAAUGUGUGUUCUAAAGAAAUCACUCAGGUCACAGUGUGGAAAAUUGAUUGGAUGGGGUAAGACUGGAAGUAGGAAGAUCAGAUAUGCAAUGGCUGUGUCUAAAAAGUAUUCUGAGACCCUGGGUGAGAUAUUGUUAGCCAUUUUUUAUGGAACAAAUCAACAAAAUAUCUUUAUAGAUUUGUAAAAUUCUCUCUAACUCUUUUGGAUUCUGCUUUACAUACUUCAAGACUGUGUUGUUAAAAACAUUCAAAUUCCAGUUAUUAUAUUUUCUUGGUGAAUUCUUCUGUUUAUCAGUAUGAAAGAUCCCCCUUUGACCGUUAUAAUCCUUUUUAUCUUAAAUUCUGUUUUAUUUAGUCCAUCACUAAGGGACUAGUUGACUCAGUUGUGGUAUACGUAUACAAUGGAGCACUAUGACGUUGUGAGAAAGAAUGAGGGACACCUCCCUACGUUCCUUUUGAGUUACACCUAGCAUAUCUUGUAAAGAUGAAAAAGCAGGGUAGAUAAAAUAUGUAUAGUAUAGUAUUGUUUAUUUAGGAAAAAAUAUUCAUCUACAUGUGUGUUUGCUUGUAUUUUAAAAAGCAGAAGAAUAAACCGUAACAUUUAAAAAAAGCUCUCUAUGGGAGAGAGAGACCGCUCAGAGAGGUCAUUGAUAGAACAUAGACUCCUCUGAGUAAACGAUUUACGCACUUGACUUUGGAGCCAUAUAAAUACUAUACAUAAUCAUAAAACAAUUAGAACAGAAAAAAAGCAAUUAUUUUUUUAAAAAGAAAUGACGCUAUGUAUCAAAUUGGUGGCAAAACUCAGAAAAUUAUUUCAAGAGACUUUAAAACACAGUGAUUUGAGGGUAUGACCAUAGAGAAACAUACCCUAUGAAGUGAUAACAAAAACUGUAAAAUACUAAAAUUCUUUUGGUAAUCACAUUAUUGGUAAUAUUAAUAUUAUUCUGAAACUAUUAUGUAUAGGCAGAAUGAAGCAAAUAAGAAAUUAUGUUAACAUCAUUAGGAUCAAAGGUUUUCAGUGUAAGAGAAAAGAGAUACAAAUAUAAAUAUAAAUAUAAAGCAAAAUCCUAAAUUUGAGUUGAAAAUAUAAGUAUGGACUUACAGUCAGUAAAAUAACCUGCUUCCAGGUGAGCUCCCCUGAGAAGGCCUAGAGACCGUGACCAGCCCAGACUGUGAUUUCUAAAUACCAGGUCCCACUAAAAGGAACCAGGGCUCCUUAGGGGAAAGAGCUGAUGACAGGAUAGGAUAAUGUACAAGACGAGUGUGGAAAAAUUUGUCAAAUCAGAGAGAAAGAAACUGUCAUAGACUUACUAGGAUCUUGCCAAAAGGACAGUAGCACCAACUUGAAGAGGCUCUAACUGGCCAGAGACGGGGUCGUCUAGGCAUCAAUAAGGACAAUUACUGCAGUGGAUUAAAAUACAUCAAAGAUAUUAAAACUCAAGCUAACACUACUUAAAAAAAAAUAGUCACCUCUGGAGCAUGCUGUGGAUAUAGCUCAUCAUUCUAAAAACUGGUAAGGGGUUAAGCAUUUAACCUCUUUCCUAUAUGAACUCAGGGUGAGCAAAAGGCUGAUGAAGUAUUCCAGCUAACAAAUGAAAAAGAAAUAAGAGAUUUAGAACAGCAUCACUUUGCCAAGCCCUAAUAAAAUGAUGAAUUUAGGCAGUGAUUGUCUAUGGCCAGUAAACUCACAGAGAGAGACAUUCAUAUAUAAUGUGCCUCUUGAUGAAAGUAUGCAACACAAUCUAUUAUAUAUUCUGGCCAAAAGCUAAACCUGAAUCAGAUCAAAACUCUGUAUCUAGUUACCAGUUCACAGGAAAUACAGGGUACAAAGAAAGAUGUAAAGAAAAGUACAAAGAGGCAAUCAGCAAUAUCCAGAACAUGGGAAAUUCUACAAAAAAAAAGGACACAAUUUCUUAUACAUAUAUGAUAUAGAAAAUUAUAGAAAAUAUAGAAAUAUAAAACAUUUCUAUAUUAUAUAUAAAAUAUAGAAUAUAGAAGUAUAAUUUUAAAAUAUAUUUAACACAUAAUAUAAUAUUUAAUAUACAUAAGGUAUAUAAACAUAUAUAAGGAUAAAAAGGGAGGGACUCAUCAAAUUAAAAAAGACUUAAAAAAUAUAUCAAACAAAUGCAACUUGAUAUGAUGAAGCUAAUGUUAAAAUUUUUUUUAAUUGUUUUUUUAAUGGAGGCACUGGGAAUUGAACCCAGGACCUCGUGCAUGUUAGGCAUGAGCUCUACCACUGAGCUAUUACCCCCCCAAUAUUAAAAAUAUUAAAUGUGAUACAAUAGCCAAGAAGUAGAAACCAUCCAAAUGUCCACAGAUGGAUGAAUGGAUAUCUCUUUGAUCUUUCUGGUCAUGAUCUAGGAGGCUUCCUCACUACUAUUUUCCAAAUCAUUGAAGCUCCAUACCUCAGAAUAGAACUGCAGAAUAUAAAACUGCUUAGCUACAGUCUAGAAUUGGCUUCUCAGUAACAUGUAUCCCACAACUCAUGUUUCAGUCAUCCAGCCCUUUUUGUUUCAAUGUAGUUUUUGUUUGAUUGUUUGUUUGUUUGUUGGUGUUUGGGACCAGGAUCACAGGGAGCUGGCACCUUUGGCUUCUUCUUUUUGCUGUCUAUGUGAAUAAAAUAUUGUCUAAGUCUAAA